AACUAAAUCUUAAAUCUUAAAUCCUAAAUCAAACCUUAGAUAAAUCCUAAGCCUUAAAAAAUCCUAAAUCCUAAAUUCUAAAUAAAUCUUAUAUCGUAAAUGAAAUCCUAGACAACUCCUAAAUCCUAAAUCAAACUGUAAAAAAAUCACAAGUACUAAAUAAAUCCUAAAUCUUAAAUCAAAUCCUAAAAAAACCCUAAAUCCUAAGCUCUAAAUAAUACUUAAAUCCUAAAUCAAAUCUUGGACAAACCUUAAAACUUAAUAAAUGAAUUUAUGACAAUAACCAGAUAAACUCUAAAUCCUAAGCUCUAAAUAAAUCUUAAAUCCUAAAUCCUAAAUCAAACCUUGGAUAAAUCUUAAAUCCUAAACCAAAUCCUAUAAAAAUCCUGAACAAAUCCUAAGCCCUAAAUAAAUUCAACUUAAUCCUAAGUCAGAUUAAAAUUCCAACAUCUAUUAAUAAAAUUGUUGUUCUUACUGAAAAAUUUACACACCUC
rnacentral:lncRNA from 1 species